UAGUACUUCCUCCGCCCCAAAAUAAGUGCAGCCAUGAUUUUCCGCGUCUAACUUUUACCGUUCGUCUUAUUUGAAAUUUUUUUGAAAAAAAUUAAAAACAUAAGUCACGAGUAAAGUAUUAUUCAUGUUUUAUCAUCUUAUAACAACAAAAAUGCUAAUUAUAAAAAAAUUUCAAAUAAAACGGACGAUCAAAAUUGAGCGCGGAAACUCAUGGCUGCACUUAUUUUGGGACGGAGGUAGUACAA
rnacentral:pre_miRNA from 1 species